UAAGCGCGUGGGUGACCUGGCCUUCGAGUGGGGGAUAACGUGUUCGAAAAGGAACGCUAAGUAUCCGCAUGACCAUCCUUGCCUUUUAAUCAUGGCGGAUGACUCAAAGACCGGGGUAUCGCAAGACCUGGCGCUUGAAUGAGGGGCCCGUGUCCGAUUAGCUAGUUAGGUGGGGUAACGGCUCACCAAGGCAACGAUCUGGUAGCCGGCCUUGAGUAGGGCGGACGGCCACGACUGGGACUGAGACACGGUCCAGACUCCAUAACGGGAGGCAGCAGUAGGGAAUUGUUCGCAAUGGGCGCAAGCCUGACGACGCAACGCCGCGUGGAGGAUGAAGACCUUCGGGUCGUAAACUCCUUUCGAUCGAGACGAAUGGCCUCCGGGUGAACAAUCCGGAGGAAUGACGGUACCGAGAGAAGAAGCCCCGGCCUAACUCCGUGCCAGCAGCCGCGGUAAUACGGGGGGGGCAAGCGUUGUUCGGAAUUACUGGGCGUAAAGGGCUCGUAGGCGGCCAACUAAGUCAGACGUGAAAUCCCUCGGCUUAACCGGGGAACUGCGUCUGAUACUGGAUGGCUUGAGAUUGGGAGAGGGAU
rnacentral:rRNA from 1 species